rnacentral:rRNA from 1 species
AUUGAACGCUAGCGGGAUGCCUUACACAUGCAAGUCGAACGGAGUGGCGAACGGGUGAGUAAUGUAUCGGAACGUGCCCCGUAGCGGGGGAUAACUACGCGAAAGCGUAGCUAAUACCGCAUACGCUUGGAGCGGCCGAUAUCGGAUUGGCUAGUUGGUGGGGUAACGGCUUACAAGGGCGACGGGCCGUAGCGGGUUUGAGAGGACGACCAGCCACACUGGGAAUGAGACACGGCCCCGACUCCUACGGGAGGCAGCAGGGGGGAAUGUUGGACAAUGGGGGAAACCCUGAUCCAGCCAGCCCGCGUGUGCGAUGAAGGCCUUCGGGUUGUAAAGCACUUUUGGCAGGAAAGCGGUACCUGCAGAAUAAGCACCGGCUAACUACGUGCCAGCAGCCGCGGUAAUAC